GACAGCAGUCGCCGCGGUAAUACAGAGGGUGCGAGCGUUAAUCGGAUUUACUGGGCGUAAAGCGUGCGUAGGCGGCUUCUUAAGUCGGAUGUGAAAUCCCUGAGCUUAACUUAGGAAUUGCAUUCGAUACUGGGAAGCUAGAGUAUGGGAGAGGAUGGUAGAAUUCCAGGUGUAGCGGUGAAAUGCGUAGAGAUCUGGAGGAAUACCGAUGGCGAAGGCAGCCAUCUGGCCUAAUACUGACGCUGAGGUACGAAAGCAUGGGGAGCAAACAGGAUUAGAUACCCGAGUAGUCCCUGUCUCUUAUAC
rnacentral:rRNA from 1 species